rnacentral:rRNA from 1 species
UACGGGGGGGGCAAGCGUUGUUCGGAAUUACUGGGCGUAAAGGGCUCGUAGGCGGCCAACUAAGUCAGACGUGAAAUCCCUCGGCUUAACCGGGGAACUGCGUCUGAUACUGGAUGGCUUGAGUUUGGGAGAGGGACGCGGAAUUCCAGGUGUAGCGGUGAAAUGCGUAGAUAUCUGGAGGAACACCGGUGGCGAAGGCGGCGUCCUGGACCAACACUGGCACUGAUGAGCGAAAGCCAGGGGAGCAAACGGG